GUCCCCUUGGGGACGUCCGAUAAAAUUGGAACGAUACAAAUUUUUUAAGAUUAGCAUGGGCCCUGCGCAAGGAUGACACGCACAAAUCGAGAAAUGGUCCAAUUUUUU
rnacentral:snRNA from 2 species